GACGAACGCUGGCGGCGUGCUUAACACAUGCAAGUCGAACGAUGAAGCAAAGAAUCGAAGCUUCGGCAGAAAUUCAUUUCGGAUUAGUGGCAGACGGGUGAGUAACGCGUGAGCAACCUACCUCUUACAAAGGGAUAGCCUCGGGAUACCGGGAUUAAUACCAUAUAACAUUGUGACGAAGCAUUUCGAUGCAAUCAAAGCUACGGCGGUAAGAGAUGGGCUCGCGUCCCAUUAACCGGAUGGUGAGGUAACGGCUCACCAUAGUGACGAUGGGUAACCGGCCUGAGAGGGUGAACGGUCACACUGGAACUGAGACACGGUCCAGACUCCUACGGGAGGCAGCAGUGGGGAAUAUUGCACAAUGGAGGGAACUCUGAUGCAGCGACGCCGCGUGAGUGAUGAAGGAAUUCGUUUCGUAAAAUUCUGUUCUAUGGGAAGAAAAGGACUGUACCAUAGGAGAAAGCUCCGGCUAAAUACGUG
rnacentral:rRNA from 1 species